rnacentral:rRNA from 1 species
ACGCACGCUGGCGGCAUGCCUCACCCCUGCCAGUCGCACGAGACCUUCGGGUCUAGUGGCGCACGGGUGCGUAACGCGUGGGAACCUGCCCUUAGGUUCGGAAUAACUCCCCGAAAGGGGUGCUAAUACCGGAUAAUGUCUUCGGACCAAAGAUUUAUCGCCUUUGGAUGGGCCUGCGUUGGAUUAGCUAGUUGGUAGGGUAAAAGCCUACCAAGGCGACGAUCCAUAGCUGGUCUGAGAGGAUGAUCAGCCACACUGGGACUGAGACACGGCCCAGACUCCUACGGGAGGCAGCAGUGGGGAAUAUUGGACAAUGGGCGAAAGCCUGAUCCAGCAAUGCCGCGUGAGUGAUGAAGGCCUUAGGGCUGUAAAGCUCUUUUACCCGGGAUGAUAAUGACAGUACCGGGAGAAUAAGCUCCGGCUAACUCCGUG